rnacentral:rRNA from 1 species
AACGAACGCUGGCGGCACGCUUAACACAUGCAAGUCGAACGGUAACGGCGGUGCUUGCACCGGCCGACGAGUGGCGAACGGGUGAGUAACACGUAGAUACCUACCUUCUUGUGGGGGACAACAGUUGGAAACGACUGCUAAUACCGCAUAAGCUCUAUGGAGGAAAGGCCUUCGGGUCGCGAGGAGAGGGGUCUGCGUCGGAUUAGCUAGUAGGUGGGGUAAAGGCCUACCUAGGCGACGAUCCAUAGCUGGUCUGAGAGGAUGAUCAGCCACACUGGGACUGAGACACGGCCCAGACUCCUACGGGAGGCAGCAGUGGGGAAUAUUGCGCAAUGGGGGCAACCCUGACGCAGCGAUGCCGCGUGAGUGAAGAAGGCCUUCGGGUUGUAAAGCUCUUUUUAGUAGGGACGAUAGUGACGGUACCUACAGAAAAAGCUCCGGCUAACUCCGUGCCCAGCCGCCGCGGUAAUU